AUUUAUAUAGUUUAAGAAAAACAUUACAUUUUCACUGUAAAAAUAAAGAAAACUUUUAUAAAUA
rnacentral:tRNA from 1 species